UUUCACUUACUCGUUUUGUAGAAUGUCUGUCGAGACGGAAGUUAGACUCCAGAUCAUACCUGCUUCUCACUUGCUAACAGAAACUACUUGACCCUCUGUGUCUGCAGGAGUAAAUGACAGUUCCAGGCUGGAGGGAGGCAGAAGGAGAGAAAGAGAUGCAAAAAUGGCUGCCAGUGGAUCACACACACCGUCAGGUAAUAUCUACAAAUUAAACAUAAAUAUUUUUAUUGAUUUUGUACUCAUCAAAUGAUGAAUGGGAAAUUCAGAUUAGGAGCUAGGGAUCACUGGGUGUAGAGACACAUGGAUGCCGACUAUGCCCAAUCUUACUGCAGAUGAUUCCAGAGGACAUACAGUAGCUCUUGACUAUAAUCGUCAAAGGAGAGUAGAUGAUGAAUGGAAAGUGUCUGAGAUAGUUAGUCUCCUACAGAGGGAGGUUCAGAGUAGGGAGAGAGUAGGGCUGUUACAGUGACCUUAUUACCGCCACACCGGCGGUCACGAAUCAUGAUGGCAGUCAAAUUCCAUCUGACCGUUUAGUCACGGUAAUUAGGCUUCUCUGAUGCUGCUCAUUAGUAGCCUACCAAACUUGCUAACUGCCUGGUACUCAUCACUCUAUUGUCCCUCUAAUCACUCUGACAACAAUGGAAAUCGAAUCGAAAAUCGAAUCAAAAACUUGAUGAGAGCCCAUUUCUAUAGACUACGUAAUUGUGUGAGAAAACAAAGUUUGAUGACCUCUAAUAAAAAUAGGAGGACCUCAUCAGCUUUCUAUAGGCUAGGCCUACUAUAUUUAUUUCUCAACUUUUUAAAAUAUUAAGAACAUUGCUUUGCUUUACAACAUUAGUAUAGCCUCCCUGCCUGGCAUGAAAAUCAACCACGGGAAAAGCGUCCCUCAUUCGCUAUUUAAGUGCAUAGAUGACAUGUAUUUUUCCCCAUACCCCUUUUCGGAAACAGGUGCAUGAAAAUGGUCCAUUCUAUAUCAAAACUAAUUUCACAAAUAUAUUACUUAGUAUACUCUACCAGUCAAAAGUUUUAGAACACCU